CGAACGGUAACAGGAAACAGCUUGCUGUUUCGCUGACGAGUGGCGGACGGGUGAGUAAUGUCUGGGAAACUGCCUGAUGGAGGGGGAUAACUACUGGAAACGGUAGCUAAUACCGCAUAACGUCGCAAGACCAAAGAGGGGGACCCUCGGGCCUCUUGCCAUCGGAUGUGCCCAGAUGGGAUUAGCUUGUUGGUGGGGUAACGGCUCACCAAGGCGACGAUCCCUAGCUGGUCUGAGAGGAUGACAGCCACACUGGAACUGAGACACGGUCCAGACUCCUACGGGAGGCAGCAGUGGGGAAUAUUGCACAAUGGGCGCAAGCCUGAUGCAGCCAUGCCGCGUGUAUGAAGAAGGCCUUCGGGUUGUAAAGUACUUUCAGCGGGGAGGAAGGGAGUAAAGUUAAUACCUUUGCUCAUUGACGUUACCCGCAGAAGAAGCACCGGCUAACUCCGUGCCAGCAGCCGCGGUAAUACGGAGGGUGCAAGCGUUAAUCGGAAUUACUGGGCGUAAAGCGCACGCAGGCGGUUUGUUAAGUCAGAUGUGAAAUCCCCGGGCUCAACCUGGGAACUGCAUCUGAUACUGGCAAGCUUGAGUCUCGUAGAGGGGGGUAGAAUUCCAGGUGUAGCGGUGAAAUGCGUAGAGAUCUGGAGGAAUACCGGUGGC
rnacentral:rRNA from 1 species